AAUCAACGCUGGCGGCGUGCCUAACACAUGCAAGUCGAGCGGGAAAGGGGGCUUCGGUCCCUGAGUAUAGCGGCGGACGGGUGAGUAACACGUGGGUAAUUUGCCCUUGGGUGUGGAAUAACUCAGGGAAACUUGAGCUAAUACCGCAUGACAUCCCCUUCUCACAGGAGUUGGGGAUCAAAGCCGGGGACCCUUCGGGGCCUGGCGCCUGAGGAGAAGCCCGCGCCCGAUUAGCUAGUUGGNGAGGUAAUGGCUCACCAAGGCUUCGAUCGGUAGCCGGCCUGAGAGGGCGGACGGCCACACUGGGACUGAGACACGGCCCAGACUCCUACGGGAGCAGCAGUGGGGAAUUUUGUCAAUGGGGGAAACCCUGAACAAGCAACGCCGCGUGGAGGACGACGACCUGGUUGUAAC
rnacentral:rRNA from 1 species